rnacentral:lncRNA from 1 species
AUCAUUGUAUUUCAAUUUGAUUUAUUGAGUCUUUGAUAAUUCUGAAAUGAAGCACGGUUCAUCUUGGAAUAACUUUUUAUUGAAAAUAUCAUCUCCAAAUCUAAAAUUAUAUAAAAAAUCUGCACCCAAAAUUGGACGACUUCGUACCACAAUAAAUUUCCAUUGGAAAUCUCCUAGAUUUUCUAGAUUCAGAGUUAAAGUUGUUGCACAAAUAAGAUCAACAAGGUAUCUUCCCUAUCCAAUAAUAGGUGAGAGUUUUUCUCGAAAAAGACUUUUACAUUUUUUAAAUGGAAUAACAGACACUUGAGAUCCUGUAUCACCAGAAAGUUAAUCGAAUUUGAAUUGUCUUUGAUACAACAUAAGUUUGAUGAUUUAUUUAGAACCUCGGUCCCGUACAACCGAGGGCAAUUUAGUGUUUUGAAACAAGUACAAAAAAUUGUAACUAGCUUUUGAACAGAUUUAGUAAAUUUGGACGUGCUAUGAGGAGGUUUUUCGAAAACAUUAUUGUUGGAAGCGAAGCGGACGAGUCUUCAACAGUGGAAAUAUGUAAUUUACUAAGUUCUUUGGCUGCAACAAA